rfam:Aspergillus flavus AF70 741, whole genome shotgun sequence.
UUUGCAUGAUGAUUAUUCCUUCGAGAAUUCUGCAAUUCGGACAAUCUCCUCAGUUUACUGUGGCGAGAUUGCAUGUUGACAUUUCUACACUUGAUCUGACU